GGGGGGACUUAUUGUAGGAGAUGGAUUACACCCCUCCACAAGGCCCAUCGAAUAAAAGGCCAUAAUCCAGCAAGUCGGAUCGAUUUGGUCGGCUCGGCGGCUAAAUCUAUCGGCUCGACCUUAGAGAAAUUUUAGCCGGUCGAGUAAGCCGACCAAAAGUCCCCGGCUUGGAGGGAGCUUUGUCCAGACCCGUAUACUCGGCCUCUCGCAUCAAGGCCCAAAGAGGUACAAAAUUAGGGCAUCAGGGGCAGGAGUCCUAUAAAAAGUGAGAGGAAAGCAACAAGAAGAGGACUUUUGGACCAUUGAACACACUGAGCGGCUAGAUCUAGGGUUUUAGGUUAUCUCUUUGAUCUUGUUACUCUUCGAUCUCGUUGCUCUUGAAUCUUCUUGUCAUUCUUGUAACCCUUCAAACCAGAUCUAAAUAAAACGUCUUUAGCCAUCCCAUUUCUGACUUCUUCCAUCUUAGUCGACUGAAUCCCG
rnacentral:lncRNA from 1 species